rnacentral:lncRNA from 1 species
ACGGCAAACCUGGAUGUAAGCACUCACACAGCUUUUAAAGUGAAAGCAGGGACCUUGAGGAAGGAAUCGCCGUCAUCUCAUUGCCGACCUGCUUACUGUGCUGGGAAACAAAGUGCAGGUCUUCUGAACAAAUGCCUCCUGAGGAUUUCUGUGCCUGGAAAAUAUCUGUUAACAGACUGCUUUUACACCUACCCAGCUACCAUACUGGGAACUGCCCAAUGGAGAGGCCCACAUUCCACAAGGAACUGAUGUCUUCAGCCAAUACCUCGCCAGGACCUGAGGCCUGCUGAGAGUCACGAGUGGCCUUCGUGGGUCCUCUCUCAACGAGCUUGCAGGUGACCACUGCGCCAGCCAAAACCUUGAUGGCAGCCUAUGAGUGAGUGACCCUGAGCCAGAAGACCCAGUUAAGCCAUGCCCAGGAUCCUGACCUGCAGAAACUAUGACAUAAUAAAUUUAUUGUUUUAUGCCAC